CCACGCAGUCCGUGUCCCUGGGGGACCACCUGCUGGGGGUCACCACUGACCAGACCCUCCACGGGGUCAAGGUCAUCGACGAGUUCCAUGACCCCAUCAGGAAAGACCUUCACUUCUUUUUCACGACGCCCUCGUCGACGCGCGCAUGCGAGGACGGGCGGCGCAGUACGGUGACGGUACGGUGCGCGCUGGAGGAGUCCGGUCAGGGGGCCGUGACGCUGCCCAAGCGCUGCCCCGACGGCACCUGCGACGGCUGCAACUUCCACUUCCUGUGGGCCACGCCCUACGGCUGCCCCAUCUGCUCCCCAACCGACCUCAUUGUGGUGAAGGGUGAGUGCAUUGAUGGUGCACAGACAGUGCACCAUAUCGCACCAUCGUCGUGUAGAGCGCCGCCUACACUGCCUGAAGUCAGCAGCGUGCAGUGCAAGACACAAC
rnacentral:lncRNA from 1 species